GCGGGUGGCGGCCAGCGCGACGGCGUCGUCGGCGGCUAUCACACCGGCGAUUGCGUAGGCCGCGAUUUCGCCGACGGAGUGGCCGGCCACGAUGACGUCCUUG
rnacentral:sRNA from 3 species